rnacentral:lncRNA from 1 species
AUGCUCCUCCUCCACCUAGCGUGCCAUGCUCCCUUCCUCCACCGAGCGUGCCAUGCUCCCUUCCUCCACCUAGCGUGCCAUGCUCCCUUCCUCCACUCUCCAUCUAGCGUGCCAUGUUCCCUUCCUCCCACUCUCCAUCUAGCGUGCCAUGCUCCCUUCCCCCACUCUCCAUCUAGCGUGCCAUGCUCCCUUCCUCCACUGCGCCCAUCUAGAUGCCAUGCUCCCUUCCUCCACUCUCCAUCUAGCGUGCCAUGCUCCCUUCCUCCACCUGCGUGCCAGCUCCCUUCUCCACUAGGUGCAUGCUCCUUCCUCCCAUCACCUAGCGUGCCAUGAUCCCUUCCUCCACCUAGCGUGCCAUGCUCCCUUCCUCCACCCCUCCUUCAUCUAGCGUGCCAUGCUCCCUUCCCGCCACUCUCCCAUCUAGC